GCAUUCUUCUAAACAGAGAGUCAUAUUCAGACCAUGAACUGCCUGAUGAUCUUCAUGCUAGUGGCUCUUUUAGUCAUUGCUUGUGGAAUACAAGAGGCAUCUGCAUCUCUACACUUAUGUUUCAUUAGUGGGGAUGCUGUAAAUGAUACCGGCCAGAGUCUUGACAAUGGCCACUGAGGAUCCCAUGGAACAUUCACCAAGAGUAGGGACUAGGGGGUGUUAACCCCUGUGUCUUGCCCAGAUGCCCAACUGGCAACUCCUACUGAAUUGAUUCCUGUUUGACCCUUUUGUCAUGAUUUGUACUUCCCUUUUGCGGAAUAAAAUUGCAAUGAGAAAACAC